UACUGCUCACUUCAACAGUACAUAUAUUAAAAUUGGAAUGACACAAAGAUUAGUAUGGCCCCUCUGCAAAGAUGACAUGCAAAUUCAUGAAGCAUCCUGUAUGUUU
ensembl:snRNA U6 U6 spliceosomal RNA